GGGGGAGUUCGAGAAUGUGCCCGAGCUUCACUCGGCCCUUUUCUAACUGCGGGCUUGCUGGAGUCACUCGCCUGCCGCUCCUUCGUGGCCUCCUCAUCCUUCAGCUUGAAGGCUUCCUCUGCUUGGGCAUAUCCUUCAGCCCGAGCCAGUAGAUCAGCGAAGUCCCUAGGAUACUUCUUUUCCAGGGAAAACAAAAGACCGUUC
rnacentral:lncRNA from 1 species